rnacentral:rRNA from 1 species
GCGAACGCUGGCGGCAGGCCUAACACAUGCCAGUCGAACGAACCUUUCGGGGUUAGUGGCGGACGGGUGAGUAACACGUGGGAACGUGCCUUUAGGUUCGGAAUAACUCAGGGAAACUUGUGCUAAUACCGAAUGUGCCCUUCGGGGGAAAGAUUUAUCGCCUUUAGAGCGGCCCGCGUCUGAUUAGCUAGUUGGUUGAGGUAAUGGCUCACCAAGGCGACGAUCAGUAGCUGGUCUGAGAGGAUGAUCAGCCACAUUGGGACUGAGACACGGCCCAAACUCCUACGGGAGGCAGCAGUGGGGAAUCUUGCGCAAUGGGCGAAAGCCUGACGCAGCCAUGCCGCGUGAAUGAUGAAGGUCUUAGGAUUGUAAAAUUCUUUCACCGGGGACGAUAAUGACGGUACCCGGAGAAGAAGCCCCGGCUAACUUCGUG